GUAUCUUUUUUUGUUUUUAUUCCGGCUCUAUCUGUCGUCUGGGAUAAACCCUAAAUUCCUCUUCUUCUUAUCGCGCUCUACAAUCAUCCGCAGACGAGCUCCGAUUAAACGUUAUUUUUUCGUUUAUUUCGUUAGAGAAAGCUUCGUUUGAGUAUCGAUAAUGGCGGAUCUAGAUCCAGAGAUCGCUAAAACCCAAGAGGAGAGACGGAACAUGGAAGCAUCUCUCACUUCUUUGACUUUCGAUCGCGAUCUAUACGCAGGUGAGGACCGUGCAACCUACUUGUCUUCUAUCGCGCCUAACGAUGAAGAGGAUCCGAAUCUGGACGCCACUGGUUCUCUUGUGGCUCAGCGUCUCGCGUCUUACACUGCUCCUAGGGCUAUUCUCGACGACGUGGCUCGUCCUCACGACGAAGAUGACGAUGUGGGAUUUAGACCUAGGCAGAGUAUUUCGGAACGUGAGGAUGAUUAUAGGAGAAGGAGACUUAAUCGGGUUCUUUCUCCUGAUAGAGUUGAUGCGUUUGCUAUGGGCGAGAAUACGCCGGAUCCGAGUGUUCGAACCUACGCGGACCAUAUGCAGGAGACUUCUUUGCAGAGGGAGAAAGAGGAAACUAUGAGGCUUAUUGGUAAGAAAAAGAAAGAGCAAGAAGAAGCUGCAAAGCAUAAGAAGGAUUCUGCUCCUCCUCCUCCUCCUCCUCCUUCUUCCAAGAGGAGAAACAGGUGGGAUCGCCCUGAAGAAGAAGGUUCUGCUUCAAAGAAAGCUAAAGCAGAAAGUUCAGAUUGGGAUGUGACUGAUGCAGCUCCAGGGAUUGGACGAUGGGAUGCUCCAACUCCAGGGAGAGUUUCUGAUGCCACACCAUCUGCUGGACGAAGGAACAGGUGGGACGAAACUCCUACACCUGGUCGUGUGACUGAUUCUGAUGGUGGUGUUACUCCCGGCGCAACUCCUUCAGGUGUUACUUGGGACGGUACUCCAAAAGGGCUUGCCACACCUACCCCUAAACGCCAACGUUCAAGGUGGGACGAAACUCCAGCCACUAUGGGGAGUGCUACACCUAUGGGUGGUGUCACUCCUGGUGGAGCUUACACUCCUGGUGUUACCCCAAUCGGUGGGGCUGAUAUGGCUACUCCCACUCCGAGUCAGCUAAUUUUCGGUGGUGCUAUGACCCCCGAGAUGCACAAUAUGAAAAGGUGGGAGAAGGAUAUCGAGGAGAGAAACAGACCAUUGUCUGAUGAAGAGCUUGAUGCCAUGUUUCCUAAAGAUGGGUAUAAGGUUUUGGAUCCGCCUGCUUCAUAUGUUCCCAUCAGAACCCCUGCGAGGAAACUUCAGGCAACCCCGACACCCAUGGCAACUCCAGGCUAUGUUAUUCCCGAGGAAAACCGCGGGCAACAGUUUGAUGUGCCCCAAGAGGUUCCUGGUGGUUUGCCGUUUAUGAAACCAGAGGAUUAUCAGUAUUUUGGUUCUCUGUUGAAUGAAGAGAACGAAGAAGAGCUGACUCCUGAAGAGCAGAAAGAACGCAAGAUAAUGAAACUGUUGUUAAAGGUUAAAAACGGAACUCCUGCCCAGAGGAAAACAGCGUUGAGGCAGCUUACUGAUAAGGCUCGUGAGCUUGGUGCUGGUCCUUUGUUUAAUAAAAUUUUGCCAUUGCUCAUGCAACCCACUUUGGAAGAUCAAGAGAGGCAUCUUUUGGUCAAAGUGAUUGAUAGGAUUCUGUACAAACUGGAUGAGAUGGUAAGGCCUUACGUCCACAAAAUCCUUGUUGUUAUUGAGCCUUUGCUGAUUGAUGAAGAUUAUUAUGCUCGGGUAGAAGGGAGGGAGAUUAUUUCUAACCUUAGCAAAGCAGCUGGUUUAGCCACUAUGAUUGCAGCUAUGCGUCCUGAUAUUGACAACAUCGAUGAAUAUGUGAGAAACACCACAGCGAGAGCUUUCAGUGUGGUGGCUUCAGCUCUUGGAAUCCCAGCACUCUUGCCUUUCCUGAAAGCCGUGUGCCAGAGUAAAAAGUCAUGGCAGGCACGGCACACUGGAAUUAAGAUUGUUCAGCAGAUUGCAAUACUAAUUGGCUGUGCCGUCCUGCCUCACUUAAGGUCGUUAGUAGAGAUUAUCGAACAUGGUCUCAGCGAUGAAAACCAGAAGGUUAGGACUAUUACCGCUUUGUCACUGGCUGCGCUUGCUGAAGCUGCUGCUCCAUAUGGUAUUGAAAGCUUUGAUUCUGUUCUGAAGCCUUUGUGGAAAGGUAUUAGGUCACACCGUGGUAAAGUUUUAGCUGCUUUCUUGAAGGCGAUUGGUUUUAUCAUCCCCUUGAUGGAUGCUAUAUAUGCGAGCUACUAUACAAAAGAGGUGAUGGUUAUAUUGAUUCGUGAGUUCCAGUCGCCGGAUGAAGAGAUGAAGAAGAUUGUCCUCAAGGUGGUGAAACAGUGUGUAAGUACAGAGGGUGUUGAACCGGAUUAUAUUCGCAGUGAUAUUCUGCCAGAGUUUUUCAGGCAAUUCUGGGUUAGGAAAAUGGCUCUGGAAAGGAGAAACUACAAGCAGCUUGUUGAAACUACCGUCGAGAUUGCCAACAAGGUUGGUGUUGCAGAUAUUGUGGGAAGAGUUGUUGAAGAUCUCAAGGACGAGAGUGAACCAUAUCGACGUAUGGUUAUGGAAACCAUUGACAAGGUUGUCACAAACUUAGGAGCAUCUGAUAUUGAUUCGAGAUUGGAGGAACUGCUUAUAGAUGGCAUUCUUUAUGCUUUCCAAGAACAGACUAGUGACGAUGCUAAUGUGAUGCUUAAUGGAUUUGGUGCUGUAGUGAAUGCUCUUGGUCAGCGAGUAAAGCCUUAUCUUCCCCAGAUAUGUGGUACCAUCAAGUGGCGAUUAAACAACAAGAGUGCAAAGGUCAGACAACAAGCUGCUGAUCUGAUUUCUAGAAUUGCUGUUGUUAUGAAGCAAUGUGGAGAGGAACAGUUGAUGGGACAUCUUGGUGUUGUCUUGUAUGAAUAUCUUGGAGAAGAGUACCCAGAAGUCUUGGGAUCAAUUCUUGGAGCUUUGAAAGCUAUAGUCAAUGUGAUUGGUAUGACAAAGAUGACUCCUCCUAUUAAGGAUCUGCUUCCGAGACUGACCCCGAUUUUGAAGAACAGACACGAGAAAGUGCAAGAGAAUUGUAUUGACCUGGUUGGUAGGAUUGCAGAUCGUGGUGCUGAGUUUGUUCCAGCCAGAGAAUGGAUGAGAAUCUGUUUUGAGCUUCUUGAAAUGCUCAAGGCUCAUAAGAAAGGUAUUCGUCGUGCCACGGUCAACACUUUCGGGUACAUCGCCAAAGCCAUUGGACCACAGGACGUUCUUGCCACGUUACUGAACAACCUCAAAGUCCAAGAACGUCAGAACCGUGUUUGCACCACAGUCGCCAUCGCCAUUGUCGCUGAAACAUGCUCUCCCUUCACCGUCUUACCUGCUUUGAUGAAUGAGUACCGUGUUCCAGAGCUAAACGUCCAAAAUGGUGUUCUGAAAUCUCUUUCCUUCCUCUUCGAGUACAUUGGAGAAAUGGGCAAAGAUUACAUAUACGCAGUCACACCGUUGCUAGAGGAUGCGCUCAUGGACAGAGACUUGGUUCACAGACAAACCGCCGCUUCAGCCGUGAAACAUAUGGCAUUAGGUGUAGCUGGUUUGGGAUGUGAAGACGCUUUGGUUCACUUGCUUAACUUCAUUUGGCCCAACAUAUUUGAGACAUCUCCCCACGUCAUUAACGCGGUGAUGGAAGCCAUUGAAGGAAUGCGAGUUGCAUUAGGUGCAGCUGUAAUUCUGAACUAUUGUUUGCAGGGUUUGUUUCAUCCAGCACGUAAAGUCCGCGAAGUGUACUGGAAGAUUUACAACUCUCUAUACAUUGGUGCUCAGGACACGCUUGUUGCUGCUUACCCGGUGCUUGAAGAUGAGCAGAACAAUGUUUUCAGCCGACCAGAGCUAACUAUGUUUGUGUGAAAGGAAGAUUGUGAAUCUUUCUGGAUUCUAUGUUACUCUAAUACUCUCUAGUCUCCUGUAGUUUUUGGUAUUGGCUUUUAUCGCAAAGCUGCAGGAUCAGGAAAUAACGUAGCAGAGCUUCUAGAUUUUUCAUAUUGCGGGACUCCGGUGAAAAUUAGGCCUUCGCCUGUAUAAUAUUGUGUCAGUUUGUGCAAAAAUUUGGUUUCUUCCGUUGAAAUGUAACUGAAAUUGGACCAAUUUGAAGUUUCGUUCAGGAUGUAAAACGGGUUGCGUUGUUCCAAGUUCUAAAAUCUAAGGUUACACAUUUUUAUUA